UACGGAGGGUGCAAGCAUUGAUCGGAAUUACUGGGCGUAAAGGGCGCGCAGGCGGUUGGAUAAGUCAGAUGUGAAAUUCCGGGGCUCAACCCCGGAGCUGCAUUUGAAACUAUCGAGCUAGAGUUCAGUUAGGGACAACGGAAUUCCACGUGUAGCGGUGAAAUGCGUAGAUAUGUGGAAGAACACCGGUGGUGAAGACGGUUGUCUGGGCUGAGACUGACGCUGAGGCGCGAAAGCUAGGGGAGCAAACAGG
rnacentral:rRNA from 1 species